UGCGCCCAUUCCCGUCCCACUUCCCCAUUCCUGGGACUGCCAGCACUGAGAGGUACCCCGGGAAGGAAGGGCGGCCGGCGGCGUCCGUAGAGGCGCCCCGCCGCGGCGGGGCAGCCCGGGCUUAGCUCCGCACGGACCCUGGCUCCACGCCGCCGGCAGCGAGAGGGUCUGCGGUCCCCUCCACCCACGUACCGGCCGCAGCGGCAAUCCACGUCUUCGCAGGCGCGCCUAAGAGCCAGCGCGACCCGGAGGCCCCUCCGUGCACGCUCGAGGGCGGGGCGGGACGGGGCCUGAGGAGCGGGCGUGCCAGGCACUGGGCGUGGCAGGCCUGGAGGGGUCCAGAACGCCGGAGCCCUCAGGCAGGGCCGGACCACCCCGGGAGAGGCGGGGCUCAGCACUGCGUCGCACUGAGCGGGGCGGGGCCUAGCAGGGAGUGCUCCAGGCGCAGACCGGAACGGCUCCGCAGAAAAAGUUGGAUCAAGAAGCUUCCACAACCACUACUGCCACCUGAUACCAGGAAGCUUGAAAAUAGACUGGAACUUGGUGCAAAGAAGUUUCCUAACUUCUACUACCUAAUCUCAAAUCAGGCACCAGUGGCUCAGAGGUGGAGCAUGACUCUCAGAAACUUCACUUUGUAGACCUAACCUGACAGUUCCAGCUGAUCCAUGGGCCUUGCUCACAUCUUGCUUUUUAUUUCUCACCUUAAAGAAAAAAAAAUAGGAGCAAAGAAAAAAAAGUAACCAAUUGUUGGAUGAUAAAUCAGAAAGUUGUCAUUUGUCUCCUAGAGCUAGUGGGACUUAGUACGUGAUCUGAAUAUAAUAUAAAAUAUAUUGUGGGUAUCAAUGAAUGAAUGAUAAUGAAAUCCCCAAAGGGGAAUCAAUCAGUUUUUUCUGGAAGCCUCCAGAAGUAUGGAGAAAUGUGUGUUAUAUUUAUCUUUGUGUUUUUUCUUCAAAUAAAAGCUGAUUAAAGUGAGGUAUCCUAUUUUUCUAAUUAAAUUAAAGCUAAAAAUUAUUAAUGUUGUCUUUGUGAACCCAAGCUCUAAAUUAUUCCUGGGAAAAAUAUGCCUUCUGCAAAACCAAAUGUUUCAGUAAUCAUUGACUCACUAGACCAUAAACUCAUUUAUGGAUAACUCAUUUAUAAGGAUAACCUUCUAACUAGCACUAUAAUUGAGGAGACAAAUAAUUGAGAGAUAAAUAUUUUUUUAUCACAAGCAAGUAGUAGAUGAUAUUUGUUGAAAUUAUGCAAUUUGUUUUAAUUUUCCUUGAUCAAAGUUUGUAAAAAAUUAAGAAGAAAUGCAUUUUUCAAGAUAUGCUCAUAGAGAGUGCCUAGGUGGCUCAGUUGUUUAAGUGUUUGUCUUCUGCUCAGAUCAUGAUCUCAGGGUCAUGGGAUCAAGCCCCACAUCUGGCUUCCUGCUCAGGGGGGAGUCUGGUUCUCCUUAUUCCUCUGCCCCUCCCUCCCCCAACUUAUGCUUUCUUACUCUCAUG
rnacentral:lncRNA from 1 species